AGUGAACGCUGGCGGUAGGCCUAACACAUGCAAGUCGAACGGCAGCACAGUAAGAGCUUGCUCUUACGGGUGGCGAGUAACGGACGGGUGAGGAAUACAUCGGAAUCUACUUUUUCGUGGGGGAUAACGUAGGGAAACUUACGCUAAUACCUCAAACGACCUACGGGUGAAAUCAGGGGAUAUUCGGACCUUUCGCGAUUGAAUGAGUCGAUGUCGGAUUAGCUAGUUGGCGGGGAAAAGGCCCACCAAGGCAACCAUCCGUAGCUGGUCUGGGAGGAUGAUCAGCCACACUGGAACUGAGACACGGUCCAGACCCUUACGGGAGGAAGAAGUGGGGAAUAUUGGACAAUGGGCGCAAGCCUGAUCCAGACAUACCGCGUGGGUGAAGAAGGCCUUCGGGUGGUAAAGCCCGUUUGUUGGGAAAGAAAAGCAGCAGGUUAAAAACCCGAUGUUCUGACGGUACCCAAAGAAUAAGCAACGGCUAACUUCGUG
rnacentral:rRNA from 1 species